CUGAACCAAACCCGAAGUAUAACUCUUAACCUAACAUAAAACCCUAUUGCAACCCUCACCCUAUAUCAGUCACUGAAACAAAUGUUGUGAACUGUACCAAUUCUAGAUCCACUCUGAUAAAGAACAAUUAAUCUUGGUUUUACAAACUUUCUUGUGAAUUCAGUGUUUACUGCACAUACUUUCAGUUUUGAAUUUUGUGGUGACACUUGACAUCAUAAUCAUUUCAUUCUAAAUUGAUCUCUGACAAAAAAAUGCAUGUAAUUUGUUGGUCCACAUGAAAUCUAUCCUACGUACAGUACGGUAUGUCACAUGUACCGUAUACCCAGUUUUUGUGUGUCCGAUCAAUUUUAGAAAGUCAUUUGGACAAAUUUAUAAGCGAGGUUUCAACAAUUUUUAGUAAAAAAUGUUAGGAAAUAUUAUAAAGAACAAAAUAAAAGUAAACUUAGAAGAUGAUUACAAUGCAACAAGUAUUGAAUCCAUAUUUUUAAUUUUAGUGUAAUCCAAAGACAAAAAAGAUCAAGUGUCCGGACACCAGGCCCCCGGCCCCAUCCUACUUUCUUUCAACAACAACAGACACAUCAAUCAGUAUCAUGAAAUUACGGUAUAUCUACUUACGUGUUAAUGAGCAACUCCAGAAAACUAUCAUUCUUGCUUUCUCCGGAUGCGAUCAUUGCUAUCCGGAACUUGUCAAACAUUGCUGUUGACAAUGUCAUGCGACUCCUUUUUGCCUCGUAAUUCUCCUUCCUCUUCUUCGUUCCACCUGGCAUGGCAACGGCCCCGCGUACAUAUGUUCACAUGAACAAAAAAAAAAACCCAAUUAACUCUGACCAAAAUUAUCGAUAUUAAACGAACUGGACGAAAA